GUCAGGGGCAGCAACAUGAUGUCGCAGACCCAGGUCUUCAUGUGCCUGCUGCUCUGGGUCUCUGGUGUCUGUGGUGACACUGUGAUGACCCAGUCUCCAAGGAACCUGGCCGUGUCUGUUGGCGAGAGCGCCACCAUCCGCUGCAAGGCCAGCCAGAGUCUUCAAAGUGGUGGUAGCAACUACUUAGUCUGGUUCCAGCACAAACCAGGACAGUCUCCCAGACUGCUCAUCUACUGGGCAUUGACGCGGGCAUCUGGGGUCCCGGACUGGUUCAGUGGCAGCGGGUCUGGGACAGAUUUUACGCUCACCAUCAACAACCUGCAGGCUGAAGAUGUGGCCGAUUAUUACUGUCUGCAGUAUCAUAGCUUCCCUCCCACAGCGAUUCAUCCUUGAACAAAAACUUCCCCUCAGGCCUCCCCAGCUGCGUGCACAGGGCCCAGGGCACAACCACUUCCUCCAGCUGCCUGAGAG